CUGUCAGUAUUUACUAGACCAACAAUGAGCUGACCUUGAUUAUCUGAAUGGUAACUUGAGUGGAAAAUGCACUGAUGUAUCUGAAGUCAGUUUGAUGGUAAUCCUUGUCAAGGUUGCCUAUCUGCAGUGACCAAGGUGCUGAAGUGGCUGCAAUACUGGGAAGACUGUGGAUUGCCAGAGUUCCUGUACAUGUAACCCUGACAGGCAGAACCAAAGCUGGGACCUCUAGAACUUC